UACGUAGGGGGCAAGCGUUGUCCGGAUUUAUUGGGCGUAAAGAGCGUGUAGGCGGUCAGGUAGGUCCGUUGUGAAAACUCGAGGCUCAACCUCGAGACGCCGAUGGAAACCAUCUGACUAGAGUCCGGAAGAGGAGAGUGGAAUUCCAGGUGUAGCGGUGAAAUGCGUAGAUAUCUGGAGGAAUACCGGUGGCGAAGGCGGCAUCCUGGACCGAGAUUGACGCUGAGGAGCGAAAGCUAGGGGAGCAAACGGG
rnacentral:rRNA from 1 species